rnacentral:rRNA from 1 species
UACGUAGGGUGCGAGCGUUAAUCGGAAUUACUGGGCGUAAAGCGUGCGUAGGCGGUUCGUUGUGUCUGUGGUGAAAGCCCCGGGCUUAACCUGGGAAUGGCCAUGGAAACUGGCGAGCUGGAGUGUGGCAGAGGGGGUGGAAUUCCGCGUGUAGCAGUGAAAUGCGUAGAGAUGCGGAGGAACACCGAUGGCGAAGGCAGCCCCCUGGGCUAACACUGACGCUGAGGCACGAAAGCGUGGGGAGCAAACAGG